rnacentral:rRNA from 1 species
GACUACAUGAAGCCGGAAUCGCUAGUAAUCGCGGAUCAGAAUGCCGCGGUGAAUACGUUCCCGGGUCUUGUACACACCGCCCGUCACACCAUGGGAGUUGGAAAUGCCCGAAGUCAGUGGCCCAACCGGAAGGGGGAGCUGCCGAAGGCAGGUUCGAUGACUGGGGUGAAGUCGUAACAAGGUACC